rnacentral:tRNA from 1 species
ACCAAAGGCCUUCAAAGCCCUAAACAAGGGUGAAAGCCUCUUAGUCUCU